UAGAGGCAGACAACUCAGUAAUUAAGUAAGUCUCAACCAAUUCGAUCACAAGCAGCCCAGGCAGCAGGUGAGCAAAGCGGUGGGCCCAGAACAGACGUAAAGUAAUAGUGUUUUCAUUUCUCUGCAGAUACAUCAGACAGAUGCGUCAUUCCUCUGCAUCUUGCCAAGUUUGACAGCAUUUGGAGCUAUAAGAGGUGCAUUUUCCCUUCCGGUGCUCCACAGCUGGCUAGGAUUGACGAGCCAUGGAACACUGAUAAUCUCAGAUACGGGACUGAAACGUUGUGUUUUUUGAAAAAUAGAGUACCUUUAAUGUAAAGUUGUUCAAGCAGAGAAAAAAAAACUGAAUCAGGUUUUUUUUAAAUCCUUUUCAUGUCAACAUCAAAAUAUGAAAUUGCAUAUUUCCACUGCUGAUUUCACAUUUCUUGUCUUUAUAGUGGAGUGCCAGGUUGUUUGUUAAUCUAAACAAUUACAGGACGCCUUGUUGAGAAGACAAAAAAUACAGAAUGUUUGAAAUAAAAUGAUGUUAAUCUUCAUAAAUAGGUGCAUAUACAGUACAUGAUUCUACUGACCAUCAACUACGACUUUAUUUAUUCCCACUUUCACUUUCUGAUGUUAGAACAGAAUUGUUUUUUUCUGUCUUUCUCUUUGUCAAACUUCAUUGCGUUGUGGUGUUUUUUUUAACCCAUUUGAACAUUUAUUUGAUAACAUUAAGAAAAUGCUGGAUAGAAUGUUUUCAAUAAACUAAUGUUUACUGAU